rnacentral:rRNA from 1 species
CCCGAUAACAAUAGUUCACUGGAACCACCUAAUCCAUCUCGAACUUAGAAGUGAAACGGUGUAGCGCCAAUGGUAGUGCGUAAGUGCGAGAGUAGGUAUUAUCGGGC